UCCACUUUAUUCUAUUCUUGUAAAGCAGAUGAAAACCACGAUCGCACGAGCAGAUGAAAAUUUAAUACCUCCUGUUUAGUUCUAUAAUUUUAAUAUGUGAUUAAUGUGUAGAAUCCUCCUAGCUAGUGUACCAACCAUUCAGGUCCCCAUGCAUAUUUGUUUUAGGCUCCCUUGCAUGCGUUUAAAUAUGUUUAGGUCCUCGUUAAAUCUUUUGAUUAACCCUAUCUAGGUUGCCGACACGGUCGUUAGCCAAAGUUGCAUGGAGGCACACGCGUAGAGAAAGUUUCA
rnacentral:lncRNA from 1 species